rnacentral:miRNA from 1 species
ACUGUUUUCGUGUGGUGGUGAG